rnacentral:misc_RNA from 1 species
GGAGGUCUUGGGAUUAACUACAAUUUUUGGUAAUGUGUUCAUCGAAGAUGCGACACGUAAUGCCUUGCUUCUGAUAGUGUGAGAUGGCAGGCCGUUCAGAUGUUCCUGUGGCUGAAGGCAGCGCUGAACCCCUGAAGGGUGGAACACCCCACAUUGCUGACUUUGUACAUGGUUCCGAUGGACUGGGGAAUGUAAAUCUACCGUCCCCAAGUACGAAGAAAAUUGAAAAAUGUGCUUCUGAAUUUUUAAUAGAGACGGUCUCUCAGCAUCCUGGUGAAGUUUCUAUACUUGCCCUUGGGCCUCUCACAAACUUGGCUCUGGCAAUCAAAAUGGAUUCUACCUUUGCAAGCAAGGUGAAAAGGAUUGUUAUACUUGGUGGUGCUUUCUUUUCUCUAGGGAAUAUAAGCCCUGCUGCUGAAGCAAAUAUCUAUGGAGAUCCGGAAGCAGCAGAUGUUGUAUUCACAUCUGGAGCAAACAUCAAUGUGAUUGGAAUAAACAUCACCACACAAGUUAAACUUACAGAUGACGACCUACUUGAAAUAAGGGAAUCCAAAGGAAAAUAUGCUCAAGUCCUGUGUGACAUGUGCAAAUUCUACAGAGAUUGGCAUGUCAUGUCGGACGGGGUUUAUGGCAUUUUCCUCCAUGACCCUGUUUCCUUUGUGGCUUUAGUUCGCCCUGAU